rnacentral:lncRNA from 1 species
GUUUGUCACCUCUUAGCCGUGCCUACUGGGUCACUGUGUCCUUAGCAGGAAAAAGAAAGAACUGGGGAAUAGCAGGCGAUUCUUUCCUUUCUAUAAGGCAGCUCCAUCUGCAGGGGAUGGGCGGCUCCUUGCUCAAGGGAGUGGAGCACAACCUCUCUCCAGUCCCUGGCUUCCUGUGACACUAUGCGAGCGCCAGGAGAGACAUCAGGAGUGGAAGACUUUGGGGAAGCGAACUUCACCAAUACUGUCUAGGGCAGGCUGGGCCCAAGCUCAUGGCAAUCCUCCUGCCUCAGCCUCCUGAGUGCUGGGAUUACAGGUGCACACCACCACGCAUGGCUGAUAUUCUGGAAAAGGCUAAAAUACAGAGAUGGAAAACAUAUAAGAAGGGAUUGAACUCGGGACCUUCUGCUUGUGAGGCAGGUGGUGGAACCAAAUGGAGCUAAAUCCCCAGCCCCAUUGCUCAUUUUUAAACUGGAUCAUUUUUAUUUUUGAUUUGUAAAGAAU